GACGAACGCUGGCGGCGUGCUUAACACAUGCAAGUCGAACGGAAAGGCCCUGCUUUUGUGGGGUGCUCGAGUGGCGAACGGGUGAGUAACACGUGAGUAACCUGCCCUUGACUUUGGGAUAACUUCAGGAAACUGGGGCUAAUACCGGAUAGGAGCUCCUGCUGCAUGGUGGGGGUUGGAAAGUUUCGGCGGUUGGGGAUGGACUCGCGGCUUAUCAGCUUGUUGGUGGGGUAGUGGCUUACCAAGGCUUUGACGGGUAGCCGGCCUGAGAGGGUGACCGGCCACAUUGGGAGUGAGAUACGGCCCCGACUCCUACGGGAGGCAGCAGUGGGGAAUAUUGCACACUGGACGGAAGCCUGAUGCAGCAACGCCGCGUGCGGGAUGACGGCCUUCGGGUUGUAGACCGCUUUCGCCUGUGACUAAACGUGAGUGACGAUAAUGGGUAAAGAAGCACCGGCUAACUACGUG
rnacentral:rRNA from 1 species